AGGACUCCUGGCGGCGGGCAGUCAGCACUGGGGUCCAGGCUGGCAUUCCCAUGCCCUGUUUUACCACUGCCCUCUCCUUCUAUGACGGGUACAGACAUGAGAUGCUUCCAGCCAGCCUCAUCCAGGCUCAGCGGGAUUACUUCGGGGCUCACACCUAUGAACUCUUGGCCAAACCAGGGCAGUUUAUCCACACCAACUGGACAGGCCAUGGUGGCACUGUGUCAUCCUCGUCAUACAAUGCCUGAUCAUGCUGCUCCUGUCACCCUCCACGAUUCCACAGACCAGGACAUUCCAUGUGCCUCAUGGCACUGCCACCUGGCCCUUUGCCCUAUUUUCUGUUCAGUUUUUUAAAAGUGUUGUAAGAGACUCUUGAGGAAGACACACAGUUUAUUUGUAAAGUAGCUCUGUGAGAGCCACCGUGCCCUCUGCCCUUGCCUCUUGGGACUGACCAGGAGCUGCUCAUGUGCGUGAGAGUGGGAACCAUCCCCUUGCGGCAGUGGCUUCCGCGUGCCCCGUGUGCUGGUGCGGUUCCCAUCACGCAGACGGGAAGGGUGUUUACGCACUCUGAUCAACUGGAACCUCUGUAUCAUGUGGCUGAUUUCCCUUUUUCCUUUACUCAAUAAAAGCUACAUCAGACUGAUGCUCUUUCUCCAGAUUCUUAGUCUCACCUCGGCCACCUGGAGCCAUUAUCAUUAUCCCCAUUGGCAGAAAGAUUUUUCUUUAAAAAAAAAAGACUAGAAUAACACAAGAAACCACAUUUAGGAUUAUGCUUCACUCAGAGGAGGCAGGCAGGGAGGACGCACCAGGGGCUUUAAUACACUGGGCAUGUUUUCUUUCUCCAAUUGGGCAAUGGGUACAUGGACGUUCACUGUAACGUGCUUUUUCUUUCGUCUUUUUUUUUUUUUUUUUUGGCUCCUGGCAAGCUGUGCGUGACAUUCUUUAUGGCUUUUUGUAUGUCAAAUACUUCAUAAUAAACUUUCUAGAGAAUUAAACUUUAAUGAUG
rnacentral:lncRNA from 1 species